AUGCGUUCUCUCUUCUAUGUUGACAACCACUUUUCACCUUCUUUUGGACUUGAAACGAAGCAGAUUCACUCGGGAUCAGAUUUUUACUGUAAUUAUCGGUUGAUUGUAGAUAUUGGCAUGCCCACAGGGUGCAUGUCAGAACCUCGCAAACAACCGAUGGAAUCCGAGCGGCAGCUGGCUUGCCGUGAUACAGAGAUACAGAGUUGUUUGCAGGGAAAAAAGUACAGACUGGAAGGGAAAAUGGAAGAGAAUGAUUUUUUUUUUUUUGAUAGCUUGCCUCCCACCCAGCCUCUGCGCUGCCCUUUAUAUCAAAGAGGCAGUGCCUAUGUUUGGUUUACAGUGGUUAAACUCUGCUGA
rnacentral:rRNA from 1 species